rnacentral:rRNA from 1 species
GGGCCCGCACAAGCGGCGGAGCAUGCGGAUUAAUUCGAUGCAACGCGAAGAACCUUACCAAGGCUUGACAUACACCGGAUGGGCGCAGAGAUGUGUCUUCCGUAAGGUCGGUGUACAGGUGGUGCAUGGUUGUCGUCAGCUCGUGUCGUGAGAUGUUGGGUUAAGUCCCGCAACGAGCGCAACCCUCGUUCUAUGUUGCCAGCACGUUGUGGUGGGGACUCAUUAGGAGACUGCCGGGGUCAACUCGGAGGAAGGUGGGGAUGACGUCAAAUCAUCAUGCCCCUUAUGUCUUGGGCUUCACGCAUGCUACAAUGGCCGGUACAAAGGGUUGCGAUACCCGUGAGGUGGAGCUAAUCCCAGAUAAGCCGGUCUCAGUUCGGAUUGGGGUCUGCAACUCGACCCCAUGAAGUCGGAGUCGCUAGUAAUCGCAGAUCAGCAACGCUG